rnacentral:rRNA from 1 species
UACAGAGGUCCCAAGCGUUGUUCGGAUUCACUGGGCGUAAAGGGUGCGUAGGCGGCUUGAUAAGUCAGUGGUGAAAGCCGAUCGCUUAACGAUCGAACUGCCAUUGAUACUGCCAGGCUUGAGUAUAGUUGAGGUAGGCGGAAUUGACAGUGUAGCGGUGAAAUGCGCAGAUAUCAGGAGGAACACCAGUGCGAAGGCGGCACUCUGGGCCGGUACUGACGCUGAGGAGCGAAGCGUGGGGGAGCGAACAGG